GAACCAAAGUAUCAAAAUAACUUCAGUUCGGUACGAUUCCAAUCGGUUCGGUUCGAAACCUCGAGAACCAUGCACAGCCCUACAUAAAUGUCCUUCCAUACUUACACUUCAUUUAAGAGGAAGUUAACAUCCUCACAGACUAGUGUUCAGAUACCCAAUUCAAAUUACAACAAAUAACCUCAAUGGAAAUAGCAAGCUAAAAGCCUGAAUCUAUUUAGCAAUAAAUUUCAUAAUGCUCAUAAAUUUAGCAAAUAAA
rnacentral:misc_RNA from 1 species